rnacentral:rRNA from 1 species
AGUAACACGUGAGUAACCUGCCCUUGACUUUGGGAUAACUUCAGGAAACUGGGGCUAAUACCGGAUAGGAGCUCCUGCUGCAUGGUGGGGGUUGGAAAGUUUCGGCGGUUGGGGAUGGACUCGCGGCUUAUCAGCUUGUUGGUGGGGUAGUGGCUUACCAAGGCUUUGACGGGUAGCCGGCCUGAGAGGGUGACCGGCCACACUGGGACUGAGAUACGGCCCAGACUCCUACGGGAGGCAGCAGUGGGGAAUAUUGCACAAUGGGUGGAAGCCUGAUGCAGCAACGCCGUGUGCGGGAUGACGGCCUUCGGGUUGUAAACCGCUUUCGCUCAUGACGAAGCUUUGUGUGACGGUAGUGGGUAAAGAAGCACCGGCUAACUACGUGCCAGCAGCCGCGGUGAUACGUAGGGUGCGAGCGUUGUCCGGAUUUAUUGGGCGUAAAGGGCUCGUAGGUGGUUGAUCGCGUCGGAAGUGUAAUCUUGGGGCUUAACCCUGAGCGUGCUUUUGAUACGGGUCGACUUGAGGAAGGUAGGGGAGAAUGGAAUUCCUGGUGGAGCGGUGGAAUGCGCAGAUAUCAGGAGGAACACCGGUGGCGAAGGCGGUUCUCUGGGCCUUUCCUGACGCUGAGGAGCGAAAGCGUGGGGAGCGAACAGGCUUAGAUACCCUGGUAGUCCACGCUGUAAACGGUGGGUACUAGGUGUGGGGUCCAUUC